GAGUAAUUGAACCUUUAUUAUUAAUACACUAAUAUGGAUGUCUUAAAUUGAAAUUGAGCUUUUUGGGUUUGAGCUUUGUUAUUCUGUUUUUGCGCGUGGGAAUCCUAUGGUCCUCUUCCAGGCGAUGGUGAGAAGCUGGCGUCGCUGGUUCAGCUACCUCUUGUUAUUUCUGAUAGCUCUAGGGAUUCUUCGAGGUGUUGGGCCGCUUUAAUGUAGAGUUUGCUUCUUUGGAUCUUCUUUUUGUGGUUUAACUCUGAUCUUUGGGUUUGUUCUGUUGGAUUGGUUAGAAGGCCUGAUCUUUUACUAA
rnacentral:misc_RNA from 1 species